rnacentral:rRNA from 1 species
GACGAACGCUGGCGGCGUGCUUAACACAUGCAAGUCGAACGGAAAGGCCCUGCUUUUGUGGGGUGCUCGAGUGGCGAACGGGUGAGUAACACGUGAGUAACCUGCCCUUGACUUUGGGAUAACUUCAGGAAACUGGGGCUAAUACCGGAUAGGAGCUCCUGCUGCAUGGUGGGGGUUGGAAAGUUUCGGCGGUUGGGGAUGGACUCGCGGCUUAUCAGCUUGUUGGUGGGGUAGUGGCUUACCAAGGCUUUGACGGGUAGCCGGCCUGAGAGGGUGACCGGCCACAUUGGGACUGAGAUACGGCCCAGACUCCUACGGGAGGCAGCAGUGGGGAAUAUUGCACAAUGGGCGGAAGCCUGAUGCAGCAACGCCGCGUGCGGGAUGACGGCCUUCGGGUUGUAAACCGCUUAUGCCUGUGACGAAGCGUGAGUGACGGUAAUGGGUAAAGAAGCACCGGCUAACUACGUG